UCCCUGGUGGCUCAGACGGUAAAGAAUCCGCCUGCAGUGUGGGAGACCUGGGUUCGAUCCCCGGGUGGGGAA
rnacentral:tRNA from 1 species